rnacentral:lncRNA from 1 species
AGAUUCAGUAGAAUACCACAACUACUUCAGAAAAUGCUACGACUGACGUGGACAUCUCUUCUGUGUGUCUUCACUCUAACUUCUUAGACAUAUUUACAGAGCCUCAAGUUAAUAUUUGAAUCAUGAAAUUCUGUGAGAAUUGGUCCAAGAAUCGUGCAGCCAUGUAUAGAGAAAGAUGACUUAGAUAACGAGUUCUAUUUGUCCCAAAGAAGCUCUUUCUGCUCACUGUGCAUUCCUCUGGAGUCAGCAGGUGAAGCGAUUUCACGUACCGUGUAUAGCUAGGGAGCUAGGAUUCUUAGCUGAACAAGUUAUGUGACUGACAAUGCGUCCAAGCAUAGAAACAUGAACAUAAUUUAUUUGCAAUUAGAACAACGCUCCAAGGGGACGGAUUUGUUCUCCCAGGUCGUUAAUGUUCGUUUUCAAAACUUGGCAUUCUGCUUUUCUUUAAGCAAUGACAGCCCAU